rnacentral:rRNA from 1 species
AGAGUUUGAUCCUGGCUCAGGAUUAACGCUAGCGGCAGGCCUAAUACAUGCAAGUCGAACGGCAGCGGGUGUAGCAAUACAUGCCGGCGAGUGGCGCACGGGUGCGUAACGCGUAUGCAAUCUACCUGUAACUGGGGAAUAGCCUUCCGAAAGGAAGAUUAAUACCGCAUAACAUCAUGAAGUGGCAUCAUUUUAUGAUCAAAACUCCGGUGGUUACAGAUGAGCAUGCGUGACAUUAGCUAGUUGGUGAGGUAACGGCUCACCAAGGCGACGAUGUCUAGGGGGUCUGAGAGGAUGAUCCCCCACACUGGUACUGAGACGCGGACCAGACUCCUACGGGAGGCAGCAGUAAGGAAUAUUGGACAAUGGCCGCAAGGCUGAUCCAGCCAUGCCGCGUGCAGGAUGAAGGUGCUCUGCAUUGUAAACUGCUUUUGUUCGGGAAUAAACCCUUUCACGUGUGAGAGGUUGAAUGUACCGAAAGAAUAAGGGACGGCUAACUUCGUGCCAGCAGCCGCGGUAAUACGAAGGUCCCAAGCGUUAUCCGGAUUUAUUGGGUUUAAAGGGUGCGUAGGCGGGUUAUUAAGUCAGUGGUGAAAGCUCCCAGCUCAACUGGGAAACUGCCAUUGAUACUGAUAGUCUUGAGUAUGAUUGAAGUGGGCGGAAUGUGUCAUGUACGGUGAAAUGCUUAGAUAUGACACAGAACACCGAUUUGCGAAGGCAGUCA